rnacentral:rRNA from 2 species
AUUGAACGCUGGCGGCAGGCCUAACACAUGCAAGUCGAGCGGAUGAAGGGAGCUUGCUCCUGGAUUUAGCGGCGGACGGGUGAGUAAUGCCUAGGAAUCUGCCUGGUAGUGGGGGAUAACGUCCGGAAACGGGCGCUAAUACCGCAUACGUCCUACGGGAGAAAGCAGGGGACCUUCGGGCCUUGCGCUAUCAGAUGAGCCUAGGUCGGAUUAGCUUGUUGGUGAGGUAACGGCUCACCAAGGCUGCGAUCCGUAACUGGUCUGAGAGGAUGAUCAGUCACACUGGAACUGAGACACGGUCCAGACUCCUACGGGAGGCAGCAGUGGGGAAUAUUGGACAAUGGGCGAAAGCCUGAUCCAGCCAUGCCGCGUGUGUGAAGAAGGUCUUCGGAUUGUAAAGCACUUUAAGUUGGGAGGAAGGG